rnacentral:lncRNA from 1 species
UUUUUUUUCUGGGCCCCUGUCAGCAUUAUCUCUAAAUUUUCAACGCCUCCUGCAUAUGACACUUCCCCCACCCUUUGGAGUAUUGAAAACCUUCACAUCUCCCCCAUUAAACAUUUUACUAUACCUUUACUAUCUGCUGUUGCCAACACAGUUGGAUAUGUAUUAGGAUGGUGAACAUUAAAUAGCUCUUGUUUUUCGUCUUGUGUUGGUUUGGCAUAUCUAAUUUUUUGUUUUUGCUUCCUUUUUUUGUAGUAGAAUAGAAUUUUUUUUGGACAUCUAUUUUUUUAUUUGCUGGAGCAUUUGUUACUGUUUCAAGAUGGGUGAGUGACUUGUUUUGAUUCAAGGAAAUGAAAAGAUUUUCCGCUGCAAUUAAACUUUUAUCCAGUUGCUUGAGAGCCGUUAGGUCAUUCGAGAAUUGAACACUGUUCAUUAUUUGAAGAAGCUUUUGCUGGAUUCGUUCUUUU